UGGAAUUUAUAGCCAAGCGGCGACGCUCACGUGCUCCUCGCCGCGUGGUCGCAGACCUUUCCCGGGAGCGGAUCUCCGUGGGGGGGCGGGGGGGCGGGGGCUCUCUCCAGCUUCUAAGGCUGCCUGGGAUCCUUCCUGCUCCUGCCCAGUAUUCCCUGGCUGUUCCGCCCUCCUGCCACGAGGAUGCUGGGAGCCCCGGGUGACCAGGAGCGCUGGGGUCGGGUGUGGACUUCGCGGAGCGGCCCCUCACCCCUGCGCAGUGUCCCGCAAAGUGCGAGCGGCCACAUAUUGGGCGGUGGCUCCAGAAAUGGAGUUGGUCUGGGGGCUCGGGUUCUUGUUUGUGCUUCAGCUGUUUUUUAUGGCUGGGUUCCACCCGACGCUGAUCGGUUGAGCACCGGACUAUGCUUCCUUUGUCUAGGUUCUGAGGCGGCUGGCACCGGGGUCUGGUACACGUCCCGGCUACUGCCGGGAGAUGCAAAGGGAGCCAGAGGUGAAUUUGCCCUCUCUGGACGCUACCCGGCCCUCAGGAAAAUCCUGCAUAACCAGAAGAGGAAAGGAAAACUUUGUCAAAUAAAAGUGAUAGUGUUGUGGAGAAGGAGGGAGAAGACAGGCCAAAGUCUAGCAUCUGCCAUUGUCACUGCAGACCGAGGCUGCAGAGGAAAGAGGAUUUCACAUUGUCUGUGGGACCGUGCUUCAAAAAGCUCUCUACAAAUCAGACUUGGUGCAGGUAAGGUGGGCUGAUGUCUUUGGGGUAUCAGGGAGGUUUCUACCUAAGGAUGCCCCAUUACUCACGUCCUCCUACACACACACACACACACACACACACACACACACACACACACACAGACACCUUCUACACUAUCUUGUAACAUCUAAAUCCUAAAACCAGAGAUUCAUUUCUUAGCAUGCAAAUGUCAUAAGGGAGGGAUCACCCAUGGUGAUAGGACUUUAUUAUGAAUUCCCAUAAUUUCCCAACUUGAGGAAUCCCUUGAUUAAUUGAUCAAUCGAUCUAUUACUAGAUAGAUAGAAGAAAUAAGGGACAUUAUUUUGAAAGGCAGGCCCAGAUUUUGUAGUCUAUUUUUGUAUCUUUCU
rnacentral:lncRNA from 1 species